rnacentral:rRNA from 1 species
CACGUGGACAAUCUAACCUAAGGUGGGGGAUAACCCCGGGAAACUGGGGAUAAUACCCCAUAGACUAUGGGUGCUGGAAUGCUCUGUAGUUGAAAGGUCCGCCGCCAUAGGAUGAGUCUGCGGCCGAUUAGGUUGUUGUUGGGGUAACGGCCCAACAAGCCUGUAAUCGGUACGGGUUGUGGGAGCAAGAGCCCGGAGAUGGAUUCUGAGACACGAAUCCAGGCCCUACGGGGCGCAGCAGGCGCGAAAACUUUACAAUGCGGGAAACCGUGAUAAGGGAACUCCGAGUGCCCGUAAAAUCGGGCUGUCCACCAGUGCAAAUAACUGGUGAAGAAAGGGCCGGGCAAGACCGGUGCCAGCCGCCGCGGUAAUACCGGCGGCUCGAGUGGUGGCCACUAUUACUGGGCUUAAAGCGUUCGUAGCUGGUCUGUUAAGUCUCUGGGGAAAUCUACUGGCUUAACCAAUAGGCAUCUCAGGGAUACUGGCAGACUAGGGACCGGGAGAGGUGAGGGGUACUCCAGGGGUAGGAGUGAAAUCCUGUAAUCCUUGGGGGACCACCUGU